UUAUUGAGCGCCUACUGUGUGUCAGAAUUCUCGAUUCUGGGAAUGCAGAAAUGAAUAAGGCCAACAACAUCCCUGCCCUCAGAUGAACAUUCUGGUGAAGGUGACGGUGGAGAACGGCAUAUAAUACGCUAUGAGAAAUUGGCUGUUGUACAGGGCUGUUGGCAAUGGACCACGCUGUGAUGAAUAUCUUUGGCUGUGAGUCAUGGUGCACAUGUGCCCGGCUUUCUCUGCAUGUGUACCUAGAGUUGGAAAUUCUGGGUUCACAUAUCCAGGAUCUUAAAGGAUCUUGGGAAGAAGAGAGCCCAAGACAAAGUGAAGUUGCUACAAGAAAACUGAAGAGGGCUGGAGAGAGAAAAAUAAGGCUGCUCCCCAGUGAACCCCCAGCCCCUCUGUGCUCAGGGACAUUGAGGGAUCUUCAGUUCACUGCCUCGGGAGGACUGGAAUGAGGCAGAGGAGAAGACGCAGAGCUUUAAGGACAGCCACUUCCCAUCAGAACCCCUGCUAGACUGCAGAUCAGAGCAUGGGAAACUCAGCUGUGUGCAUAUGUGGCGUCUCCACAUGCUCACCCCACAGCUCCAGGGGGAUUUGUGGCCAGUGGGUGAGAUAAUACUCUCAGGUAUUAUCAUAUCUCAGGUAUGUGUGAGGAUGUACUUCCUGCCAGCUCAGGAUAGAACUCCAGAUAUUUGUGAAUUUGU